CUGCAUGGCUGUCGUCAGCUCGUGUCGUGAGAUGUUGGUUAAGUCCCGCAACGAGCGCAACCCUUGUCUUUAGUUGCCAUCAUUAAGUUGGGCACUCUAAAGAGACUGCCGGUGUCAAACCGGAGGAAGGUGGGGAUGACGUCAAGUCCUCAUGGCCUUUAUGACCAGGGCUACACACGUACUACAAUGGCAGGUACAAAGGGCAGCCACUUAGCGAUAAGGAGCGAAUCCCGUAAAACCUGUCUCAGUCCGGAUUGGAGUCUGCAACUCGACUCCAUGAAGUUGGAAUCGCUAGUAAUCGCAGAUCAGCACGCUGCGGUGAAUACGUUCCCGGGCCUU
rnacentral:rRNA from 1 species